GACUUUCACUCUUCAAAUCGCUCGUUUAGGAACCAAGUUCCUCUCCUCUUCCUUCUUCAUUUGGGGCAGUUCGAGCUUGCCCUAGAAUCAUCCCCUCUUCUCCAAACCGAUGAUUUAACUCCUCAAAUCCUUGCCUUUUUCCUUCCAAAAUCCUUUCCUCUCUGCCUCACAUUUAGUCUCCUAAGCUCCUUUCAAGUCUCUCUUAACCUAAUGGCUCCCAAAAUGAAGCUUCAACAGAGGAGAAAAUCUAUUCGUGGGUUGGAAGAGAGUGUGCGCAGAAAGAGAUUAGCAGCCG
rnacentral:lncRNA from 1 species